UACGGGGGGAGCAAGCGUUGUUCGGAUUUACUGGGCGUAAAGGGCGCGUAGGCGGUCGUGACAAGUCACUUGUGAAAUCUCCGGGCUUAACUCGGAACGGUCAAGUGAUACUGUCGGACUAGAGUACAGAAGGGGCAAGUGGAAUUCCCGGUGUGAGCGGUGAAAUGCGCAGAGUAUCGGGAGGAACACCAAUGGCGAAGGCAGCUUGCUGGGACGGUACUGACGCUGAGACGCGAAAAGCGUGGGGGAGCAAACAGGG
rnacentral:rRNA from 1 species